rnacentral:rRNA from 1 species
CCUACGGGUGGCAGCAGUGAGGAAUAUUGGUCAAUGGACGAGAGUCUGAACCAGCCAAGUAGCGUGAAGGAUGACUGCCCUAUGGGUUGUAAACUUCUUUUAUAAAGGAAUAACACGAGUUACGUGUGCCUUUUUGCAUGUACUUUAUGAAUAAGGAUCGGCUAACUCCGUGCCAGCAGCCGCGGUAAUACGGAGGAUCCGAGCGUUAUCCGGAUUUAUUGGGUUUAAAGGGAGCGUAGGUGGGUUGUUAAGUCAGUUGUGAAAGUUUGCGGCUCAACCGGAAAAUUGCAAUUGAUACUGGCAGUGUUGAGGACAGUUGAGGGAGGGGGGAUUCGGGGUGGAGCGGUGAAAAGCUUA